GAUGAACGCUGGCGGCGUGCCUAAUACAUGCAAGUCGAGCGAACAGACGAGGAGCUUGCUCCUCUGACGUUAGCGGCGGACGGGUGAGUAACACGUGGAUAACCUACCUAUAAGACUGGGAUAACUUCGGGAAACCGGAGCUAAUACCGGAUAAUAUAUUGAACCGCAUGGUUCAAUAGUGAAAGACGCUUUUGCUGUCACAUAUAGACGGAUCCGCGCCGCAUUAGCUAGUUGGUAAGGUAACGGCUUACCAAGGCGACGAUGCGUAGCCGACCUGAGAGGGUGAUCGGCCACACUGGAACUGAGACACGGUCCAGACUCCUACGGGAGGCAGCAGUAGGGAAUCUUCCGCAAUGGGCGAAAGCCUGACGGAGCAACGCCGCGUGAGUGAUGAAGGUCUUCGGAUCGUAAAACUCUGUUAUUAGGGAAGAACAAAUGUGUAAGUAACUAUGCACGUCCUGACGGUACCUAAUCAGAAAGCCACGGCUAACUACGUG
rnacentral:rRNA from 1 species